GUACUUGCAUGUAUGUUGGCAGCACAUACACUAAAGUUGGCAAAGCUGAGAAGAUUUGCAUGACCCCUGGGCAAAGAUAGCAUUUAGAUUCUAUUAAAAACAAAUUGAUGUU
rnacentral:snRNA from 1 species